GCUUACGGCCAUAUCAGCCUGGGUACUCCCGAUCUCGUCUGAUCUCGGAAGCUAAGCAGGGUCGGGCCUGGUUAGUACUUGGAUGGUAGACCGCCUGGGAAUACCAAGUGUUGUAAGCA
rnacentral:rRNA from 1 species